rnacentral:rRNA from 1 species
AUUGAACGCUGGCGGCAGGCCUAACACAUGCAAGUCGAGCGGAUGAAGGGAGCUUGCUCCUGGAUCCAGCGGCGGACGGGUGAGUAAUGCCUAGGAAUCUGCCUGGUAGUGGGGGAUAACGUCCGGAAACGGGCGCUAAUACCGCAUACGUCCUGAGGGAGAAAGUGGGGGAUCUUCGGACCUCACGCUAUCAGAUGAGCCUAGGUCGGAUUAGCUAGUUGGUGGGGUAAAGGCCUACCAAGGCGACGAUCCGUAACUGGUCUGAGAGGAUGAUCAGUCACACUGGAACUGAGACACGGUCCAGACUCCUACGGGAGGCAGCAGUGGGGAAUAUUGGACAAUGGGCGAAAGCCUGAUCCAGCCAUGCCGCGUGUGUGAAGAAGGUCUUCGGAUUGUAAAGCACUUUAAGUUGGGAGGAAGGGCAGUAAGUUAAUACCUUGCCGUUUUGACGUUACCAACAGAAUAAGCACCGGCUAACUUCGUG